CUCGAAAGCCUGUCCCAGUUCGGACUGGAGUCUGCAACCCGACUCCACGAAGUUGGAUUCGCUAGUAAUCGCGCAUCAGCCAUGGCGCGGUGAAUACGUUCCCGGGCCUUGUACACACCGCCCGUCAAGCCAUGGGAGCCGGGGGCGCCUGAAGUCCGGGACCGCGAGGACCGGCCUAGGGCGAAACUGGUAACUGGGGCUAAGUCGUAACAAGGUACC
rnacentral:rRNA from 1 species